GCUCCUCAGAGCCCGGGGAGCAAAGAGGCUGGGGCGCCGUGGGCGGCCAACCCCCGAGUACCUGAAAUGUGAAACAGGGACCCUGUGUUUCAAAGCAGGUGGAUUCGGAAAGUCACAGCCGGGCUGCGGGCCUCUGCUGGCAGUGGGGGGAGUUGGGCCAUCUUGGUGAUCAGUCCUGGACUUGCCCCUGAGCCGCACGCACAGUAGGUGUGCCCGGCAGCGUGUUCCUGGAGGGACGUGUGUGCCAGGGGCUGAAAGAUGGCCAGUGGGGCCUGGGAGGCCCGUGUGGAGGGUGGGUGGGGUUCAAGGGGAUGGCGUCUGACUCCGGUCAGCAGCCCCCGUUUUCUGGGCUCAGGUGUCGUCGGGCGGCUCUGAGCCGCGUGCAGUGCCGCUCCACGCACAGACCGGGGAACUGGCUUUCCUGGUGUCACCGGGUUAUCAGUGGCUGGGCACGGAACACAUCUUGGGUGUGUCUGACAUAAAGCCAUCCUUUUACUGGGAUCUGUGUGACCUCAGAACAAGCAGACACGUGGGAAGAGUGAUCCAGCCGUCACUUGAGUGAUGGUAGGAGGUCUGGUCAGAGCAGGAUGUGUCUCAGAGCUGAACACGGAAGAUAGAAGCGUUGCCCGAGGGAGUCGUGAGAGAUGGGCUUGUUCCUGGAGGGCCUCAAAUGCUGAACCCAGGCUCUUGGUCCUGUUCCUGGGAGUUACAGGUGAUAGGGGACGAGGGAAGCUGUGGUUGGCUGGCCAGGACAAGCCCAAAUGGCUAAGGGUUGGGUGAUUAGCCCCUUUGCCCUCUCUGAUCCCGAGGCCUGUCUAUCACAAAAGCACAAACCUACCCUAACCCACGUGGCCUGGCCCUGAGGAGAGUGGGGACCCUGGUGCUGGACACCCCAAGCUGUGUGUGUGCAGAUCUCUGCAGGAUGGUGGCUGGCAGGCACCUCAACACCCCUAUACAAAGGGACCCAAGACCAGAUGGGACAUGGCCUGCCCUGGCCAAACCCUUUUCCUGUCCUCUUGCCAGGCCUGCUCCUGCACCAGGCAGCCCCCUAAAAGUGGACCAAAUGUGCACAGUAUCAGCCUGUCUGCCUGUCUCCCCACUCCCCAAUUCUUCCCACUGGAGCUUUCUGUUUCCAGGGCCACCUCUGGCCCCCUUUGCUGCGCUGUGUAAGGGCUUGGGGUCUUAGAAACCGCUGUUUAGCCCAGAUACACAUACUCUUUUUGUCUUUGUGCAAUAAUCAGUGUUCCUGGCAGAGCCUGGGUUGAGCCAGGGUUUGAGGAGGAGACAGGCCGCCUCCUCCUGGAAGCCCUCCACCCAGCCCUGCUGCUGUGACUAUCGCACUCCCAGUCGCUGCACAGUUUCUAUGGUGUGAAUAAACUUCCCUCCUAGUUGCUGAUGGCGCUGGUACCUACUGGCCCAGACCGCCUGGGGUAGAGAAACCAAGUGGCAGGCGCCACCAGUGUUGUUUUGAAUAAAACCCGAAGCCUAUUUCAGAA
ensembl:lncRNA